rnacentral:lncRNA from 1 species
AUGUUAGAGGAUCUGCAGCGAACUGAGCCUAUGCCUGAGAAAAACAAGGACAGAAGAAACAAACCAAAGAAAAAGCUGAGACAGACAGAGCCAUAUUUCCUCCCACAGUACCUCCAGCGUUGGUUUAAUCCUUGGACCACAGCACAGAUAAUUAUAAUAAUUAAUAAUCUUGAUAUUUCAGUGUUAAAUAAACACACAUACACACACACAGACUUCUUGGUUCUGUUUUUUUGGAGAUCUUUGACUAAUACAAAUACUCUUCAUUCUUCCCUCCCUCCUUCCCUUCAUUCUUUCUUCCCUUUCUCCCUCCUUCAACAAAUAACUUCCUAGCGCCA